rnacentral:rRNA from 1 species
UUAAGUGACUAAGCGUACACGGUGGAUGCCUGGGCAGUCAGAGGCGAUGAAGGACGUACUAACUUGCGAUAAGCGCAGAUAAGGCAGUAAGAGCCGUUUGAGUCUGCGAUUUCCGAAUGGGGAAACCCAACUGCAUAAGCAGUUACUGUUAACUGAAUACAUAGGUUAACAGAGCAAACCGGGGGAACUGAAACAUCUAAGUACCCCGAGGAGAAGAAAUCAACCGAGAUUCCGGUAGUAGCGGCGAGCGAACCUGGAUUAGCCCUUAAGCACUCGGUGAAGUAGGUGAACAAGCUGGAAAGCUUGGCGAUACAGGGUGAUAGCCCCGUAACCGACGCUUCAUCGAGCGUGAAAUCGAGUAGGGCGGGACACGUGAUAUCCUGUCUGAAUAUGGGGGGACCAUCCUCCAAGGCUAAAUACUCCUGACUGACCGAUAGUGAACCAGUACCGUGAGGGAAAGGCGAAAAGAACCCCUGUGAGGGGAGUGAAAUAGAACCUGAAACCGUGUACGUACAAGCAGUAGGAGCACCUUCGUGGUGUGACUGCGUACCUUUUGUAUAAUGGGUCAGCGACUUAUAUUCAGUGGCAAGGUUAACCGUAUAGGGGAGCCGUAGCGAAAGCGAGUCUUAACUGGGCGCUCAGUCUCUGGAUAUAGACCCGAAACCGGGUGAUCUAGCCAUGGGCAGGUUGAAGGUUGAGUAACAUCAACUGGAGGACCGAACCGACUAAUGUUGAAAAAUUAGCGGAUGACUUGUGGCUAGGGGUGAAAGGCCAAUCAAACUCGGAGAUAGCUGGUUCUCCCCGAAAGCUAUUUAGGUAGCGCCUCGGACGAAUACUACUGGGGGUAGAGCACUGUUAAGGCUAGGGGGUCAUCCCGACUUACCAACCCUUUGCAAACUCCGAAUACCAGUAAGUACUAUCCGGGAGACACACGGCGGGUGCUAACGUCCGUCGUGGAGAGGGAAACAACCCAGACCGCCAGCUAAGGUCCCAAAGUAUUGCUAAGUGGGAAACGAUGUGGGAAGGCUCAGACAGCUAGGAUGUUGGCUUAGAAGCAGCCAUCAUUUAAAGAAAGCGUAAUAGCUCACUAGUCGAGUCGGCCUGCGCGGAAGAUGUAACGGGGCUAAGCAAUACACCGAAGCUGCGGCAAUGUCUUUUAGACAUUGGGUAGGGGAGCGUUCUGUAAGCCGUUGAAGGUGAAUCGUAAGGUUUGCUGGAGGUAUCAGAAGUGCGAAUGCUGACAUGAGUAACGACAAAGGGGUGAAAAACCUCCUCGCCGGAAGACCAAGGGUUCCUGUCCAACGUUAAUCGGGGCAGGGUGAGUCGACCCCUAAGGUGAGGCCGAAAGGCGUAAUCGAUGGGAAACGGGUUAAUAUUCCCGUACUUCUGACUAUUGCGAUGGGGGGACGGAGAAGGCUAGGUGGGCCAGGCGACGGUUGUCCUGGUUCAAGUGCGUAGGCUUGAGAGUUAGGUAAAUCCGGCUCUCUCUAAGGCUGAGACACGACGUCGAGCUACUACGGUAGUGAAGUCAUUGAUGCCAUGCUUCCAGGAAAAGCCUCUAAGCUUCAGAUAGUCAGGAAUCGUACCCCAAACCGACACAGGUGGUCGGGUAGAGAAUACCAAGGCGCUUGAGAGAACUCGGGUGAAGGAACUAGGCAAAAUGGUACCGUAACUUCGGGAGAAGGUACGCUCUUGAUGGUGAAGUCCCUCGCGGAUGGAGCUGACGAGAGUCGCAGAUACCAGGUGGCUGCAACUGUUUAUUAAAAACACAGCACUGUGCAAAAUCGCAAGAUGACGUAUACGGUGUGACGCCUGCCCGGUGCCGGAAGGUUAAUUGAUGGGGUUAGCGCAAGCGAAGCUCUUGAUCGAAGCCCCGGUAAACGGCGGCCGUAACUAUAACGGUCCUAAGGUAGCGAAAUUCCUUGUCGGGUAAGUUCCGACCUGCACGAAUGGCGUAAUGAUGGCCACGCUGUCUCCACCCGAGACUCAGUGAAAUUGAAAUCGCUGUGAAGAUGCAGUGUACCCGCGGCUAGACGGAAAGACCCCGUGAACCUUUACUACAGCUUGGCACUGAACAUUGAACCUACAUGUGUAGGAUAGGUGGGAGGCUAUGAAGACGUGACGCCAGUUGCGUUGGAGCCGUCCUUGAAAUACCACCCUUGUAUGUUUGAUGUUCUAACUUAGACCCAUUAUCUGGGUUGAGGACAGUGCCUGGUGGGUAGUUUGACUGGGGCGGUCUCCUCCCAAAGAGUAACGGAGGAGCACGAAGGUGGGCUAAUCACGGUUGGACAUCGUGAGGUUAGUGCAAUGGCAUAAGCCCGCUUAACUGCGAGAAUGACGGUUCGAGCAGGUGCGAAAGCAGGUCAUAGUGAUCCGGUGGUUCUGUAUGGAAGGGCCAUCGCUCAACGGAUAAAAGGUACUCCGGGGAUAACAGGCUGAUACCGCCCAAGAGUUCAUAUCGACGGCGGUGUUUGGCACCUCGAUGUCGGCUCAUCACAUCCUGGGGCUGAAGUCGGUCCCAAGGGUAUGGCUGUUCGCCAUUUAAAGUGGUACGCGAGCUGGGUUUAGAACGUCGUGAGACAGUUCGGUCCCUAUCUGCCGUGGGCGUUGGAAGAUUGAAGGGGGCUGCUCCUAGUACGAGAGGACCGGAGUGGACGAACCUCUGGUGUUCGGGUUGUGUCGCCAGACGCAUUGCCCGGUAGCUAAGUUCGGAAUUGAUAAGCGCUGAAAGCAUCUAAGCGCGAAGCGAGCCCUGAGAUGAGUCUUCCCUGACAGUUUAACUGUCCUAAAGGGUUGUUCGAGACUAGAACGUUGAUAGGCAGGGUGUGUAAGCGUUGUGAGGCGUUGAGCUAACCUGUACUAAUUGCCCGUGAGGCUUAACCAU